UUGGUCUUAGGAAAUGUAUUUUGACUCUUUCAGUCUCAGCAAGGGGAUAGAAGGAGCCCUGCAUUCUCUCCUGACACGCUUGACAAAAACAAACCCAACUAGAGGUCGCCAGCAACGGAGGGGCAUCCUGUGUAAGGACUUGGAAGAGGAGUUGUAUUGUCACCCCCUGGCCACUAGAGGACUUCAUCCUAUUUCAGUGGAGGAAGGCCUGUUAGGGGCCUCUCUAUACUGGUGGAGGUUUGGUCGUCUUCCCUUCACUUGAUUUCUGCCAGUGGCCUUAUGUGAGGAUGCUUCAUGAGAUGUCAAGUAUCCGAGGAGUCUGUGACACAACCAUCCAGUGGUGAAUUGCUAAGGAGCUCCUCUCCAGCCUGCUUGACUCUGAGGUUAAAAGAGUCUUCAUGUUGAGCACAAGUCAUCUCUUUGCACUUUCACCAGUUGUGUCCAUCUGAAAAACACAGAGGUCUGUCUCACUUCUGCAUCACAGUCCCUUCCAAGAAGCUCCACAAUGGGUAAGGCACAAUAAAAUGGCUUAUAUUCAACCAAUCAGUCCAGCAAUAGUGAUGCCUUAAUUUUUGAGGUUGGAUCAGAAAAGGCCGUGCGGCUUCUGCCAAGUAUUCAGGGACACUCCCUCUGGGAGAAGUCAGCCACCGUUUAAGACAUUAGAUGCCCUGAGAUUGCCACGUGUAGGUGCUCUGGCAUCUCUGCUGAGAACUCAGCAGAUAACCAGUGACCAUCAGUCAUGUGAGAGGAUCAUCUGGGACGUGCAGCCCAGCCAAGCCUGCAGAUGACUCCAGGCUCAGCCAACAUCUCACUGCAACAAAUAAGAGACCCCCGGCAAGAACCACUCAGCUAAUCCCUUCUUGAAUUCCUGAUCUAUGAAAUCAUGAGCAAAAUAACAUAGUCAUCCUAAGACACUGUGUCACACAGAGAUAGCAACUGGAGUAGUCAGCCUUUGAAGAAAACCAAACUAACGUGACUCAUACGCAGUCACGGACUAGGUCCUUUUCUUUGCUUAUGAAAAUAUUAAGCUUCGUGAAAGGUGCUCCCAAGGCCUUUGCCAUGCACGCUAUUUAGAAGGCAAACCCCAAGUAGAAAGUUUUAAGUAUGUACCCCUCCACACGCAAUAUAAAACAAAAUAGAAAUUAAAAGAAAAUAAAAAUAUCUAGAAGUGUGCAAGACCAGUGAUGGUCAGGUUCCCUUUCUUGGACAUACACACUCCCGCUUGGAGGCCUUAAUGGAGACAGCAGGGUUCAGGCUUCGAGUUGUGGUGCAAUUGGCCCACAUCCACCCCACCCUCUCUUCACGCAGCAGAUGACUGGGACAUAAAGAAGCUGAUGGGGCCACUGCCACCGAAUUUCCACCUGCAGCCCUUCUCGGGGGCCACCACCAUGCUCCUCAACAGCUGUCACUGACAGGACAGAGCUUGAGGAUCUUGAGGAGCUACUGACCCUGCAGAACCGCUCUGAGACCAGGGGGAGCUUUUCCAGGUGAAACGAUUCAUGGCUAGGCUGAUUUAACUAAUGGGUUUUUCAUCAGAGUAAUACAUAUUCAGAUAUGUCCCAUGCUCAGUGAUGGCAUCAAGCAAUGUCAGGAUUAGAUGGGAAAUUAGAGGCAAUUUGCUCCAAGUGUCUACUUG
rnacentral:lncRNA from 1 species